CACAGGAAGGAGAAUCUCCAUCUUGCCUUGCUGGGAAAGCAGGAAGAAACAUCGAGCACCUUGUGUUUUAGUUGAUCCUGAAUGCUGUCAAGAUGACAAACAAGACUAUCCAUUAUCCUCCCCAAUCAACCACUAAUGAGCCCUGCUUCCACAAAAGCAUUCUUAUUGGCCCUACCUUGUGCAGGCCGGCACACUCAGGAAUUCCUUUGGUUCUCCUUUUAUCUGCUUGUUCGGUUGUCCUAUCUCUUCCUGCCUUACUGAGGACUUUGUCAUUCUGGUUUCUCUCCUACCUCCUCUGCUUGUGACCUACAUUUUGCACAGUGGCGUCUGGAGAUGGUAUCAUUUGUCCCAUGACUUCCAUAAGUACGUCUCCAGGUCUUGUUACCUACAAGUUCCAGAUCUACAGGGCUCUCUCUAAACCACCUGCUUCCCUAAGAUGCUGUGUUGGUUCUUUGGCUUUUUGGUCAGUGUGAUACAAGCUGGAGUCUUCUGAGA
rnacentral:sRNA from 1 species